CACCAUGGAAACAACUGUCCCCAGAACGACGCUGUGCGGCCCCGCUGCCCAGCCACGUCCUGUCUGCCCUCCGAGUCGCCCUGGAGGAAGUUACCAACCCGGCAUCUCCUACAGGACCACGGGCUUCACAAAAGCCAUUAAAAGUCCGUGCCAAGGAGACAUUCCUCGGACUCAAGGCACCAUCUGUGGGUUUCUCACGUGCACUCACAGCUUUGCCCACAGGGGAUUGCAGUGAUGUUCGGAACCACCAAAACAGUCGCCUCGUAGCAUUAAAAGGAGCCAAGUCUGCAGGGUUUGGUGAGUGAGCUCUUUGUAUAUAGUAAUGCUUUGUCUUUGAUUGUGAGAACUCAUUGUUGUACUCUUUGAUCUUUAAUUCAUACGCUCAACAAUCUAUCUUUCAAUUUCUCCUUUUUUUUUUUUUUUUUUAGGUCUUGUCCUUAUCGACUUUCACAGCACUUGGAGUCGUCCCAGGCACAAACACUUAUUUUUGGUUAAGGCCAGCCAGUAGUUUUCUGCCUUUAAGGAUAUUCAUGAAAUGAUUCAUAAGAAAACAUGAAACUUAUUUCCAAAUUUUUCCAUAACAUGUCAAUCAUGUUGGAACAAAUUCAUAUUUUAAAAUAAUCACCAUAGCAGAACUGACUGUAUAUGAUAAAUAANGUCUUGAAGAUAAAAUCAAUAGGAUUUUCUAAUGGAUUGGAUGUAAGAUAAGAGAGAGAGAGAAAGGUAAUUAAUGAUUUCA
rnacentral:lncRNA from 1 species